UGAUAAUGCUGGGAUGUGAUGGGGAGCGAAAUUUAGUAGCGAAGUAGCUGAUUUCACACUGUCAAGAAAAGUCUCUAUCGAGGUUAAAGGUACCCGUACCGCAAACCGACACAGGUGGGUGAGGAGAGUAUCCUAGGCCCGCGAGAGAACUGUUGUUAAGGAACUCGGCAAAAUGACCCCGUAACUUAGGGAUAAGGGGUGCCACCAUCCGGUGGCCGCAGAGAAUAGGCCCAAGCGACUGUUUACCAAAAACAUAGGUUU
rnacentral:rRNA from 1 species